AGUGAACGCUGGCGGCGUGCUUAACACAUGCAAGUCGAACGAGAACGGAUUAUAGCUUGCUAUAAUUGUCAGCUAAGUGGCGCACGGGUGAGUAAUGUAUAGGUAAUAUGCCUCUUACUAAGGGAUAACAAAUGGAAACGUUUGCUAAUACCUUAUACUCCUUAUUAACAGAAGUUAAUAAGGGAAAGAUUUAUUGGUAAGAGAUUAGCCUGUAUUGUAUCAGUUAGUUGGUGGGGUAAUGGCUUACCAAGACUAUGACACAUAACUGGUUUGAGAGGUUGCACACGCACACGGGAACGGAUACACGGUACGAACUCCUACGGGGGGAAGAUGGGGGAAAUUUUACCCAUUGGACGAAAGUUUGAUUCAGAAACCACGCGGGGAGGAGGAAAAAUUGGGGGCGCUAAACCCUUUUUAUAGGGGAAGAAAAGGACGGUUUUAAAUGAAUAAGCCCCGGGUAACCCCGGGCCAGCAGCCCCCCUAA
rnacentral:rRNA from 1 species